AUACGUAGGGGGCAAGCGUUAUCCGGAAUUAUUGGGCGUAAAGAGUGCGUAGGUGGUUUUGUAAGCGCGAGGUGAAAGGCAAUAGCUCAACUAUUGUAAGCCUUGCGAACUGUAAGACUUGAGUGCAGGAGAGGAAAGUGGAAUUCCUAGUGUAGCGGUGAAAUGCGUAGAUAUUAGGAGGAACACCAGUGGCGAAGGCGACUUUCUGGACUGUUACUGACACUGAGGCACGAAAGCGUGGGGAGC
rnacentral:rRNA from 1 species